UACUGUGUCGAUAUUGGUGGUCUGCUAAGUAUAGAAAGAAACAGAAGCUUAGGCAAGAUUCACGCUAUAAAUCAGAAGAUGUAGCUCAAAACAAGGGUGGUUCAAGACCACUAGGCGAGACCUAACAAUAUUUGGUUUGUUUUACACCUCUAUUACAGUGUGCUUCAUUUUUGUUUAGAUCCUAAGACUUACAAUACAAAUGAUCUGAUGAGAUUUUGUCAUACUACAGAAAGCUAAGUUUGGACUCGAGAAAGCCACUACCAUAAACACUUAUUGUUGCAUGAAGGCACGUCUUAAAAAUUGUGAUAACAGUGGGAAUAGUGGUCCAAUCCCAAGCCAACAUGCCCAAAAACGUGUGGAUGAUUACAAUGAAGGCCUCCAAGCUACAUAUCCCACUGAUUGGCAGCAAAGAACUUUUGAUGCAAAAGUCAUGUAUAACACCUCAGGUGGCAUGUCCCAUGGUCGUAUGGCAAUAGCGGAUGGUGCUCUAAACAAGGCUGAUGUUGUGGAUGCUGCAAAGGAAUGUAACAUUAGGCCGUCCAACUCCAUGUCUCACCAAAAUCUCAAGAGAAGACUUGAUGAAACAAUUGAAAUAAAUUAGAACUUAGAAAAAGACAAUUUAGUGCUAAAGAAAGACAACGAAGUGUUAAAGAAAGACAAUGCAGUUUUGAAGAAACAUAAUGCAGUACUGGUUCGGCGUAUAAAUCAUUCUGACCAUCUAAAUGAGGUAAUUUUUGUGCUUCUCUAUAUCUUGGAGAUUUAAGGCCCAAAUAUAAUCCCUAAUUUGGUACUAUAAGUUGGUCCUUUAUAUCAAGCUUUAGAUGGAAAUAUCAGAUGUUCCUGAUCAACAAGUAGAUGAGAUGGAGGGUGUCGCUGUAGAUGGAUCCUCUCAUGCUUCAGAUGACAUCCACAAUAAUAUUUUUGAAGAGGUGAACUAGCCCUUGUCAACACAUUGGUGCAGGUUUGGAAAACUUUUUGGUGGAUGCUCAUAUUUUGUUAUAGUCAUGACUUCGGUGCAGAUUUGGAAGACUUUUUGGUGGAUACGCAUAUUUUGUUAUAGUCAUGCGAUACAAGGAGAACUAUGGCUAGAUGGCUAGUAGGGUCAAAAACAUGUUGAAUGAGCCCACUGACUUGUGCCGUGAACUACCUUUUGUCGCAUGUAUUAGCUUUUUAAUUUCUUGCCUGUGAUGCAUGCAAGAUGUAAGCCAAGGUAUGGCAGAUUGCAAAACCUGAACUUGCAUGAAUUUUUGCUCCUUUUUGUCGAUCUGGUGGAUGUCACUUGGA